AGCUUGCUCCCUGAUGUUAGCGGCGGACGGGUGAGUAACACGUGGGUAACCUGCCUGUAAGACUGGGAUAACUCCGGGAAACCGGGGCUAAUACCGGAUGCUUGUUUGAACCGCAUGGUUCAGACAUAAAAGAUGGCUUCGGCUACCACUUACAGAUGGACCCGCGGCGCAUUAGCUAGUUGGUGAGGUAACGGCUCACCAAGGCAACGAUGCGUAGCCGACCUGAGAGGGUGAUCGGCCACACUGGGACUGAGACACGG
rnacentral:rRNA from 1 species